rnacentral:rRNA from 1 species
GAUGAACGCUGGCGGCGUGCCUAAUACAUGCAAGUCGAGCGAACAGACGAGGAGCUUGCUCCUCUGACGUUAGCGGCGGACGGGUGAGUAACACGUGGAUAACCUACCUAUAAGUCUGGGAUAACUUCGGGAAACCGGAGCUAAUACCGGAUAAUAUAUUGAACCGCAUGGUUCAAUAGUGAAAGACGGUUUUGCUGUCACUUAUAGAUGGAUCCGCGCCGCAUUAGCUAGUUGGUAAGGUAACGGCUUACCAAGGCAACGAUGCGUAGCCGACCUGAGAGGGUGAUCGGCCACACUGGAACUGAGACACGGUCCAGACUCCUACGGGAGACAGCAGUAGGGAAUCUUCCGCAAUGGGCGAAAGCCUGACGGAGCAACGCCGCGUGAGUGAUGAAGGUCUUCGGAUCGUAAAACUCUGUUAUUAGGGAAGAACAAAUGUGUAAGUAACUAUGCACGUCUUGACGGUACCUAAUCAGAAAGCCACGGCUAACUACGUG